AACGAACGCUGGCGGCAUGCCUAACACAUGCAAGUCGAACGAGACCUUCGGGUCUAGUGGCGCACGGGUGCGUAACGCGUGGGAACCUGCCCUGAGGUUCGGAAUAACUCGCCGAAAGGGGUGCUAAUACCGGAUAAUGUCUUCGGACCAAAGAUUUAUCGCCUUUGGAUGGGCCCGCGUUGGAUUAGCUAGUUGGUAGGGUAAAAGCCUACCAAGGCGACGAUCCAUAGCUGGUCUGAGAGGAUGAUCAGCCACACUGGGACUGAGACACGGCCCAGACUCCUACGGGAGGCAGCAGUGGGGAAUAUUGGACAAUGGGCGAAAGCAUGAUCCAGCAAUGCCGCGUGAGUGAUGAAGGCCUUAGGGUUGUAAAGCUCUUUUACCCGGGAUGAUAAUGACAGUACCGGGAGAAUAAGCUCCGGCUAACUCCGUG
rnacentral:rRNA from 1 species